rnacentral:sRNA from 1 species
UCAACCUCCGAGGACUCUGAGGGAGCGGU